AAGACGUGGGGUAGAGACUGUAAGGAAGCCUGUGAUGGUCGAUGUGUAGACCAAUUGUGUAACCGCGUCAGUGGGAAUUGUGACAACUGCCAACCCGGGAAAGGAGGACAUUUCUGUGAACAAGACUGUGAAGACUUUACCUACGGCAGUGGCUGUGAGCACCAGUGUAGUGAAAAGUGCUCGCGGGAUGUCCCUUGUGACAAACGAGAUGGAAGCUGUCUGGGUGGUUGUACCUCUGGCUAUCUGGGACAGUUCUGUGAUCAACAAUGUCCAAACAACACUUACGGUCUCAACUGCUCCAACACCUGUAGCCCCACGUGUGUACUCAGAACCACCAACAGCAGCGCCAGUGACACACCCAGGCGAUGUCAUCAUGAGACUGGGGCAUGUCUCUACAUUUGCCUGGAAGGCUACGGGGGAGUGACGUGCUCC